rnacentral:lncRNA from 1 species
AGCAAGCAUUUCUGAACAACGUAAUCUAGUUCACAUAUAAAAUUCACCAUCAAAUCCUGCCUCUUUAAAAAAAAAAGUUUUCUACUUUAUUUCUCUCGUUUUUCAUUCUUUAGUUCAAUACCUGGUUAUCUAAUCACAAUUCACUUUUAUUUUCUUCAGUACUACUUACAAUAAUGCUAAAUUCUCAAUUUACUACCUUUAAAUCCUUCUUAAAUGUCAGUGACAUUUUCCAGGUAUCUAUUUUUUCAAAAGGAACCAAAAUAAGUUAAAAAGUAGACUAUAGAGGACUUUAUUUUUUUUUCUUAUAUACAGUAGAGAAGGAAAAAAUAUCCUGCAAUUUCUUAGGCCAGGAAGAAAGAAACAUACAAUGUGCCUUCAGAGAGAGGCAUGUAAUUUUUCCCCAGGGUAGAUGACUACUCAGAAAAAUCACAUUUCAGGUUGCUUUUGGUAUAAAAAGUCAGAGCUUUCUGCAAACAAGAAAAGUGGAGAACUAAAUUUCAUGCAUAAUAAAAUGUGGAGAAACUGAACCACCGGGCCACAAGCAGUGAGGACGCGGAUGCCCACUGACAGAGGACACCCUGGGGGAAAUUUCAAGAGUGGGAAUAACUCGGACUGUUAAUAAUACUCUAAGGAUCAACUGGUUAGUUUUCUAUGCUGUACAACCCAAACUGCCUUUUUUUUUUUUUUAACAUUUUAUUUACUUAUUUGGCUGCNNNNNNNNNNNNNNNNNNNNNNNNNNNNNNNNNNNAGACAGUAAAGCGUCUGCCUAUAAGGCAGGCCUUAGUGAUGGCAUAAGGGGUCUUUAGUUGCAGCACGUGGGGUCUAGUUUCCUGACCAGGAAUCGAACCCAGGCUCCUGCGUUGGGAGCACAGAGUCUUAGCCACUGGACCAGAGGGAAGUCCCCCAAACUGGUUUUAGAAAAACUGUGCUACAUUCAAGGGCUUUGUGAUCAUGAGUAAUUUGAAGAACCAAAGAAGAGAGAUGUAUUUAUAUCAACCGAGAGUGUACAAAGAUGUCAGAAGACUGAGAGUGCCGAGGAAAUGUGAAAUCAGACCAAGAGGAAGAACAAAGGCCAGUGAAUUUGGGAACUCCAGGCAACACAUGGUUCUGUAACUACAGCCAUGUGAGAGCUAAUCACUGUGAGCAGUGAGUGUCUUCUGUGCAACAGAAAUGUCAGCGUCUAAUAUUUCACUAAAGCUAAGACGCAGCAAUGCCUUCCGCCUGAAGCCAAAAUGAAGAAAAUACCUUCGAACUAGACAUAUUCUCUUACUGCAGCUGUUCUUAUUCAAAACUAAGGAAUUCAGUCACAAGCAGGUUUGAAAUGUACAGGGAAAAAACAAAUACCUAGAUUUGCAGUUAACUCUUGAUACGUUUUACUGAUUUUUCUCCCAUUUAUGCACUGUUAAGCAGAGUCACACUGCAGUUUUGCUUUGAAAACAAUAUAAACAGUGUAAGAGAAAAAAUAAAACUUAAAGAGGUGGCAAUUGCCAACAGACGAAUUGCAAACGGACAAUAAAUACAUGUUUGAAAGGUCAUUCUCACUGGCAAUUAAAGCAUGAUAUUCAUUCUUCAGUUAAAAACUGGCCAAAAUACAAAUACCGUUUGAUAUCACUUGUAUGCCUAAUCUAAAACACGAAAACAAAUGAACUUAUCUCAAAACAGAAACAGACUCACUGACUUAGGGAACAGACCUGUGGCUACCAGGAGGGAGGUGGGGUGGGGUGGGAUGGCCCGGGAGCUCGGGACUGGCCAAGGCAGACCAUUUACGCAUAGGGACAGCUGAAUCGGUUUGCUGAACUCCAGAAACUGACACAGCACUGUAAAUCAACUAUACGUCAAUAAAAUAAAAAAUA